rnacentral:rRNA from 1 species
AGUGAACGCUGGCGGCAGGCCUAACACAUGCAAGUCGAGCGGCAGCGCGUCCGACCACCCUCGGGUGGUCGGAUGGCGGCGAGCGGCGGACGGGUGAGGGAUGCAUCGGAAUCUGCCUCGUUGUGGGGGAUAACGUAGGGAAACUUACGCUAAUACCGCAUACGACCUACGGGUGAAAGUGGGGGACCUUCGGGCCUCACGCGAUGAGAUGAGCCGAUGCCGGAUUAGCUAGUUGGCGGGGUAAAGGCCCACCAAGGCGACGAUCCGUAGCUGGUCUGAGAGGAUGAUCAGCCACACUGGAACUGAGACACGGUCCAGACUCCUACGGGAGGCAGCAGUGGGGAAUAUUGGACAAUGGGGGGCAACCCUGAUCCAGCCAUGCCGCGUGUGUGAAGAAGGCCUC